GCUUAACACAUGCAAGUCGAACGGAUGAAAUAAGCUUGCUUAUUUCGUUAGUGGCGCACGGGUGAGUAAUGUAUAGCUAACCUGCCCUUUAGUGGGGGACAACAGUUGGAAACGACUGCUAAUACCCCAUACUCCUUCUUAUCAUAAGGUAAGUUGGGAAAGAUUUAUUGCUAAAGGAUGGGGCUUUAUGGUAUCAGCUAGUUGGUGGGGUAACGGCCUACCAAGGCGAUGACGCCUACCUGGUCUGAGAGGAUGAUCAGGCACACUGGAACUGAGACACGGUCCAGACUCCUACGGGAGGCAGCAGUGGGGAAUAUUGCACAAUGGAGGAAACUCUGAUGCAGCAACGCCGCGUGGAGGAUGACGCAUUUCGGUGUGUAAACUCCUUUUAUAAGGGAAGAUAAUGACGGUACCUUAUGAAUAAGCACCGGCUAACUCCGUGCCAGCAGCCGCGGUAAUAC
rnacentral:rRNA from 1 species